rnacentral:lncRNA from 1 species
GCAGGAAUCCCUGGAGGCGAAGCGGGGCCGGGGCCGGGCGGAACGGCUGGAGCGGCUGCUGCGGCUGAACGAGCUGCGCUGCGGGCUGGCCCCCGUCUACGGCAGCGAGGUGCUGGGGCUCUGCACCCUGCCCCCCCCCCACCCCACCCCCGGGGGGGGCCCUGGCCCGCGCUGUCCUCGCCCCCCCCCAGCGCCUACGGCAGCUCCAGCCCCUACUGGACAGGUUCAUCUUCGUGCUGCCGCCGGUGGAGGCGCGGGGGGUGGCCCUGCACAGCUGCCGCCCCCCCCCCUUGGCGCCUGCGGCAGCGGGCGCAGCUGGAGCAGCGGCUGCGGGGAGGAGCUGGCGCCCCGCGGGCGAGCCCUGCACCGGGUGCUGCGCAGCAUGCGCACCCACUUCCCCGACCUGCGCCUCAUCCAGUACGACUGCGGGAAGCUGCAGACGCUGGACGUGCUGCUGCGGCGCCUGAAGGCGGGGGCCCACCGCGUCCUCAUCUUCACCCAGAUGACCCGGAUGCUCGAUGUCCUCGAGCGUUUCCUCACCUACCACGGCCACAUCUACCUGCGCCUGGACGGCAGCACCCGCGUCGAGCAGCGCCAGGUGCGGGGUUGGGGGGGGGGCACCCGCGCAUCCAGGCACCGACACCCUCGGACCCCCCCUCCGUGGAGACCCAGUUCUCCAGGAACCUUCCCGUGAUCCCACCUUGGAGCCGCAUCUCAACGGCUUCACGGUAGCACGGAGGACACGGCAGCAGGCUUAGGGACACCCAGGGGGAUCCCAGUGGUUUGGGG